UCGGUGCAGAUCUUGGUGGU
rnacentral:siRNA from 1 species